CCUCUGGUAGCUCAGUUGGUAGAGCGGUUGACUGUAGAUCCAUAGGUCGCUGGUUCAAAUCCGGCCCAGAGGA